rnacentral:rRNA from 1 species
UCGAGAAUCUUCCGCAAUGGGGGAAACCCUGACGGAGCGACGCCGCGUGGAGGAUGAAGGCCUUCGGGUUGUAAACUCCUGUCAGUCCGGAAGAAGAUCUGCAAUUAUGUAGAUUGACUGUACGGGCAGAGGAAGCUCCGGCUAACUCCGUGCCAGCAGCCGCGGUAAUACGGAGGGAGCGAGCGUUGUUCGGAUUUAUUGGGCGUAAAGGGCAUGUAGGCGGCUUUGCAAGUCGGGUGUGAAAGCCCAUCUCUUAAAGAUGGAACGGCAUUCGAAACUGCAAGGCUUGAGUUCAGGGGAAGAAAGCGGAAUUCUCGGUGUAGCGGUGAAAUGCGUAGAUAUCGAGAAGAACACCAGCGGCGUAAGCGGCUUUCUAUCCUGAAACUGACGCUGAGAUGCGAAAGCCAGGGGAGCGAACG